AUACUGGGGCUAAUUUUAGGUAUUACCCGCUUUGGAGUUUAUUUUGGCUUCCAGAAGUUUACAUUUAGGUCUGUAAAAAAGCACAACCUGCAGAGCUGUGUGUGUGUGUGUGUGUGUGUGUGUGUGUGUGUGUGUGUGUGUGUCUGUCUGUGCAUGUGAAACUCAUCAAACUUCUUUAAUAACUCUGAAUAUGACUUGUUUGGGCAUAUUUUCAAUGGAUGGCUAAUUUUGUGCCAGAAUUCAAAUGGAAAUUUAAACCAAAAGAGCUUGCAGAUAAAUAGCAGAGAUUGCUUGCUUUUCACCCCAUUUCUUCUGGUGGUAACUUUUCAAUUGUGAUUUUUUUUUUUAACCCUCCAUAUUUUUUUUUUGCCAGACUUUGAUUUCUAAAGCUUUAUUUUUAGUCUUUGUAAGGCACAGCAUUGAUUGAGCAUGCUGUGUUCUAAUUUUGGUAGCAAUUUUGUAGGUUAGCUCAGUUUCAUAGAAAUUAGAAAGCUGGGGCUCAUGGAAGUGACUUAUUUUAUCCACGUAGCAGGGGGUGGCAGAGUGGAUGACGCCAGGGUCUGUGCUUCUUCAUCUCAAGGCUGGUGCUGUUUCCUUGGUGGGGCUCCAGGUCAAGUGUGGUCUGCAUUAAGGUCCUCCCUGGGGGAUGCUUGUGAAUGACCUGGGUGUGCACAGAGCAGAGUGGGGCUCCAGAGCCUGUACAUGUUGCUGGGUGUGCAGUAAACACACAGAAAACAGUAUAUGCCCACCCUGCUCGUGAGGAGGGAGUUGCUGAGUCUACACUCUGUGCCAUCUACCAUGCAAUUCACCACAGUAAUUUCGAAUAGCUUCUUGGGUCUUGCAUCAUUUGUGAAAGUGAAGCAAACCUUCCUCUACUGUACAGAGUGUGUAUGCACUUCGCAGCGAGGAACGCGCCCACGUUGCUCUAGAUGGAAGACCUCCGAAACACAGGUCUCCGCAGGCCUGUAACCUUGGCUGAGGCGCAUGCUCAGUUCAAACUCAGCAUCAUCAGCAUUUCAGCCCUUCUUUGCAGCUGCACUCUCUGGGGCCAAAAAUAAAUACGGU
rnacentral:lncRNA from 1 species